UCCGCAAUAGUUUAGUGGCUAGAAUUUCCGCCUGUCAGACACGCGGGGGACCGGAGUUCAAUUCUCCGUUGCGGAG